rnacentral:rRNA from 1 species
CACGUAGGAUCCAAACGUUAUCCGGAUUUACUGGGCGUAAAGCGCGUGCAGGCGGUUUGGUAAGUUGGAUGUGAAAUCUCCGGGCUCAACCCGGAGGUGUCGUUCAAAACUACCAGACUAGAGGACGGUAGAGGAAGGUGGAAUUCCGGGUGUAGUAGUGAAAUGCGUAGAUAUCCGGAGGAACACCAGUGGCGAAGGCGGCCUUCUGGGCCGUUCCUGACGCUCAGACGCGAAAGCUAGGGUAGCGAAC